GAUGAAGAACGUAGCGAAAUCCGAUAAUUAAUGUGAAUUGCAGAAUUCCGUGAAUCAUCGAGUCUUUGAACGCACAUUGCGCCUCAUGGCAUUCCGUGAGGCAUGCCCAUCUCAGCGUUAGAAAAUAUUCUCAAAUUUUAGUUUUGUGCUAAAAUUUGGAUCAUGUCAAGGAAGCUAUUACUAUUAUUGUGAUCGCUCUUUGGAAAUUGAUAGGUCUUUGAGUUGCUACUCAUAGAACGUGAUGAAUCUUUCUUCGUUCUAUUGUAAUUCACUCUGGUAGUCCUAAAACUUGUAUGCCUGUGGCAUAUCUUGUAAUUUGACCUGAGAUUGGGUAGGGAUACCCGCUGAACUUAAGCAUAUCAAUAAGCGGAGGA
rnacentral:misc_RNA from 1 species